rnacentral:rRNA from 1 species
UACGUAGGGUGCGAGCGUUUGUCCGGAAUUAUUGGGCGUAAAGGGCUCGUAGGCGGUCUGUCGCGUCGGGAGUGAAAACUCAGGGCUUAACCCUGAGCCUGCUUCCGAUACGGGCAGACUAGAGGUAUGCAGGGGAGAACGGAAUUCCUGGUGUAGCGGUGGAAUGCGCAGAUAUCAGGAGGAACACCGGUGGCGAAGGCGGGUCUCUGGGCCGAUACUGACGCUGAGGAGCGAAAGCGUGGGGAGCGAACAGGA